UGCCCAGCAACUCCUAUUCCUACCUCCUCGUGGUACCGGCCGGAAACUACAAACAUCCUUAGGGAAGA
rnacentral:ribozyme from 1 species